CGCUACAGAUCUCAAAGCAAGCAAUAGAUCGAACGGGUCCUCUCGUCUGUAGGUGAUCGCUUUGACCCCAAGUCAUCUUCUCCUUCCGACGAGAUCGAGGCCUCUGACAAUGAUGAGAUCCUUAAGUUUGAGUGUCGAUGAUGAGACCCCCUACUAGGUUAGUGGGAAUUAGGGGUCCCAUCCAAAGGCUGCCUUGGGGUUAUUACUCGUUUUCCCCGUUGAC
rnacentral:lncRNA from 1 species